UACGAGGGGUGCAAGCGUUAUUCGGAAUAACUGGGCGUAAAGGGUGCGUAGACGGUACAUUAAGCUUGUUGUUAAAUUCCCUGGCCUAACUGGGGACCUGCAGUGAGAACUGAUGUACUAGAGGGUGAGAGAGAGAAGUGGAAUUUCCGGAGUAGCGGUAAAAUGCGUAGAUCUCGGAAGGAACACCAAUGGCGAAGGCAGCUUCUUGGCUCAUACCUGACGUUGAGGCACGAAAGCGUGGGGAGCAAACAGG
rnacentral:rRNA from 1 species